rnacentral:rRNA from 1 species
GUGCCAGCCGCCGCGGUAAUACGAAGGGGGCUAGCGUUGUUCGGAAUUACUGGGCGUAAAGCGCGCGUAGGCGGACCAGCCAGUCAGAUGUUAAAGCCCCGGGCUCAACCUGGGAACUGCAUUUGAUACUGUUGGUCUAGAGCCCGAGAGAGGGUGGUGGAAUAUCCAGUGUAGAGGUGAAAUUCGUAGAUAUUGGAUGGAACACCAGUAGCGAAGGCAGCCACCUGGCUCGGUGCUGACGCUGAGGCGCGAAAGCGUGGGGAGCAAACAGGAUUAGAUACCCGGGUAGUCC